UUUAAUUGAAGAGUUUGAUCAUGGCUCAGAUUGAACGCUGGCGGCAGGCCUAACACAUGCAAGUCGAGCGGUAACAGAUUGAU
rnacentral:rRNA from 1 species